rnacentral:rRNA from 1 species
AACGAACGCUGGCGGCAGGCCUAACACAUGCAAGUCGAGCGCGCCUUCGGGUGAGCGGCGGACGGGUGAGUAACGCGUGGGAAUAUGCCCUUCUCUACGGAAUAGUCCUGGGAAACUGGGGGUAAUACCGUAUACGCCCUUUGGGGGAAAGAUUUAUCGGGGAAGGAUUAGCCCGCGUUGGAUUAGGUAGUUGGUGGGGUAAUGGCCUACCAAGCCGACGAUCCAUAGCUGGUUUGAGAGGAUGAUCAGCCACACUGGGACUGAGACACGGCCCAGACUCCUACGGGAGGCAGCAGUGGGGAAUCUUAGACAAUGGGGGCAACCCUGAUCUAGCCAUGCCGCGUGAGUGAUGAAGGCCUUAGGGUUGUAAAGCUCUUUCAGCUGGGAAGAUAAUGACGGUACCAGCAGAAGAAGCCCCGGCUAGCUCCGUG